UGAGGAAUAUUGGUCAAUGGACGCAAGUCUGAACCAGCCAAGUAGCGUGCAGGAUGACGGCCCUAUGGGUUGUAAACUGCUUUUAUAUGGGGAUAAAGUGGGGAACGUGUUCCCUUUUGCAGGUACCAUAUGAAUAAGGACCGGCUAAUUCCGUGCCAGCAGCCGCGGUAAUACGGAAGGUUCGGGCGUUAUCCGGAUUUAUUGGGUUUAAAGGGAGCGUAGGCCGCCAGAUAAGCGUGUUGUGAAAUGUACCGGCUCAACCGGUGAAUUGCAGCGCGAACUGUUUGGCUUGAGUGCACGGUAAGCAGGCGGAAUUCAUGGUGUAGCGGUGAAAUGCUUAGAUAUCAUGAAGAACUCCGAUUGCGAAGGCAGCUUGCUGCAGUGCGACUGACGCUGAUGCUCGAAGGUGCGGGUAUCAAACAGG
rnacentral:rRNA from 1 species